AAAUUGAUGGUUUCCUGAGAAACAAAAAAAACACACAAAAAUAUGUAAAACUGAAAAUCGACAACAGGCGGUGUCUCGCCGAUCGAAUCCCAAUUCGAUUCCGUUCUACAUGACUUCCUAUUCAAGGAUUAUAAUCGGUUCCGAAGAACAUGUUCAAAGCUGAAUCAAUAGCCACUUGUGGUUUGACAGAGAAAGAACUUCGGGAAAUAAUAUGAAAGCUUGUUGAAGGGUUUGGCAAUGAUAAAGACAAUAUACUAUCAAAACCCGUGAAGUUUGCAGCUGGGUAUCAGCGUAUAGGUGUGGAGGACAUGCACAAAAGGAAAAAUUCAGAAAAAAGCUCCUGAGAUUAUAGAUCAAUGUAUGUUGAUGGACCACAUCAAAUGCUUUGAAACUGUGGCCGUUGGAGUGAAAGACAUUGUACCAUAUUCAGUCGCCUUCAGUUGUGGAUCUAGAAUAUCCAGAGGUAGUGUAUAUACAGAGAAAGCAAAGGAUGCGGCCAUUGGUGUUGGAAGCAUCAAAUAUGGUAAGAUUCGAUUGAGAGAAUUCGGGUAGAAAAUCACAAAGAAGGUAAGAUCCGAGAUUCUCCAAAGCGGGUCGAAAACAAUUAAUUCCGGGUCAAAAUUUUGACCCGAUUAGAGACCCCAAAAACUGUUGCAA